rnacentral:lncRNA from 1 species
UGGCAUCCUGCACCUGUAACUCACAGGUGAUGUCAUCACCUGGCAUCCUGCACUUGUAACUCACAGGUGAUGUCAUCAUCUGGCAUCCUGCACCUGUAACUCACAGGUGAUGUCAUCACCUGGGAUCCCGCACCUGUAACUCACAGGUGAUGUCAUCGCCUGGCAUCCUGCACCUGUAACUCACAGGUGAUGUCAUCGCCUGGCAUCCUGCACCUGUAACUCACAGGUGAUGUCAUCACCUGGCAUUACACACUGGGGAUGAAUACUUGAAACAGUGUACUGCAGUGGAUGGAGGCAGGUUUUCUUUGUAACUGGGGACUCUGGGUUUGCAUUCCAAUCAUUUUGCCGACAGCUAGGUAGCAACAUUUAUAUUUAAAAACAAAACAAAAAAAUCUAUAGAGAUGUAUUUUAUAAAUAGGCUUAAGUGUCCCGGCUUGCAUGUGCCUAUCCAAAAUGAUUAUUUUUGUAGAAGUCUAAAUUAACUCUAUUUAUAAUGAAUAGGUCACCAUCCACUGUGUACAUAGAACAUAUAAAUAUGUUUAUAUUCUGUGCAUAUGUGUAGGCUACCAGAUAUCCCUGGACUUCUUAAGCCAAGAUAAGAGUUUUUUUUUCCUUUUUGAUUUCUCUUUAUACUAAAGAACCCAGAAUUGCCACAACAAGCUAGGAAGCAUAACAAACUCAAGAGAAAAUCAGGAUGAUUUUCUGUUCCUAUAUACAUUUCUACUCUCUUGCGACGGCGUAGGACCAGACAAGUGAGGAAGAGGGUUGGUGAGAAGGUGAAUCUAUUUGGUAUGGAAGGCAUGCUACCAGGUCUACCCACCUCACAGGCCCGGAGGGCACACCACCGGUUCUACCCACCUCACACUAAAGCACAAUGGCAGUGUCCCUCUCUCCCGAACAAAUUAUGUCAGGUUAAUCUGAGAAUUCUACGUUUAGAAGCUGAAAUCAAUAAAAUCAUGGCAGAUUGC